GAGAGGCCUUGUUUUUCUCAUCAUGAAUGCUGAGCAGGUUCUACUAAUACAAUCCUGAGCCUGUUGUUAAAAUAUGACCUAUAAGUUUGUUUCCAAAUGGCAUAGUAAAAUUUCCAUCUGGCCGUUUUUCCAUGUCUCAGCACAGCUUAAGUACUGAAACUGUGAGAAAUAUUAAAAUUAUGACUUGCUGAAUUUUUUAGCAGCUAUUCAUAAGGAAACAGUUGUACUCUUUCUAUUCUGGGAGGGCACCUGGUCACUUAGAUCUCCAUAUUGAACUGUGCCCUGAAAUCCUAAAAUCCUGAAAUCUCUUUUUAUUAGUAGGCACAGACCCACCUAAUAAUUAUUUGCUGUCUGGAUAUCUGGAAGGCACUGGCCAUUUAAUCUUAAUAAUUUUAAUUUGAUUAGGAUGAUCAGUCCAAAGAUAAUGUUGGUUCCCUAGAUUGCUAUUCUGAGCCCACACUGAAAACAGCACAGAAGCCAAGUAUCUGGAGCUGCCCUUUCAGGGGUUGGCACCUGUCAGCACAUUUACUAUGUUUUGUUAAACUUCAUUUCUGGAAUCCUAUUUAGAAUUUAAAAUUGGAAUUUAUGUAUUUUCUAAUAUAUUUGAACU
rnacentral:lncRNA from 1 species